rnacentral:lncRNA from 1 species
AGAGGAUGGGGUUAGUUAUAUAUAAUCUGACAAUUUUUUUUUCAAAUUUUUCUGUCCAGAAAGAGGAAAUCAGCUGAAAAAGGAAAAAUCACAUCCUUGAAAUUUUAAACUAAUAUUAAAAUUUAUUGAAAUAUCAUGCUUUUUUUCUCCUAGAAAACAACAGCUGCAGCAACAGAAAUUGCAUGAAAUACCGGUAGUACAAUUCUUUUCACCAAUUCAUUAAAAGUUACCUGGCAAAGGGAAUCCUAGAUAAGUGAUAAAUCAUUUGGGUCUAUUAAUCUACUAGUGUAUGUAUAUUGCUUGUCUCACUACAGGAGAUUAUCUCAUGCAGACUGAUAAGAUCUGGCACAUGCUUUAUAUUUAGAAACUCAUAACAAGAGAUCAACCAAUGAAAAUAAAGUCAGGGAACUACUUCUGGGGGCUGUACAUGUACCACAAAAAGUAAUCCAUAGUUUUUUCUGUUUUAUAUCAGAGUAAUCUUCAAAAUUUAUGAGUAUGUGAUUGAAUGGAAUAAAAUCUUCCUCUAGUACAAAAAUAUUUUAACAUCAUAGAUGUUUCAUUACCUUCAUUAGCUGACUGUAAAUGGCACAUUUGCCCAAGAAUAUCAAAAUUUCAAAUCUACACAGGAAGUUCUUUGACAGAGAGCAGAAUAGAGUAAAUAUUUGGGAGAGUGUUUCCCUAAAUAUUUUACUAUGUGCAGCUUAUUUCAUCUUGGAAGUUAACAAUAAUUAACAGAAUGCACCAGGUAUAGCAUCAUAUGUGUAUAUAAAGUAUCAGCACACAUGAAUGAAUUGAGACAUGUGACCCAAUGUAUUGUGUUCAAAGGCUCCAUCCAACAGUUCAAAGACAUGUCAUAGCAGUGGAGCAAAUGGUGGCAAAUGAUGGCUUUGUGGUGGUUAGUGAAAAACUGUGGCAAUCUACAUUGGUGGUGGCAAACACUGACAGAAAAUUUCUGGAUCAGCAGUGACAUUAAGUUGAAAAUAAUGACAUAUUUUACACUGUACUGAAGAUGUAAUUGCGAAAAUUAUUCAAGAAAUAAUAUUAUCUCAUUCAGUGAUUUGUCACUGAAUAAAUCAUUAUUUGGAGUUCAGAUGCGAAGGAAUUAUAUCACGAGGGCGCAACAUUACUGAAAGGAUUUUCUUCAAACUUUCACAAGUGAACAAUCUUGACGGGUAGAUACAACUACAAUUACAUUGCAUCCAAAAUCAGUGGCACAGAAACCGGUAGGGGACCAUGUAUUGCCUUGCAAUACUUCAGCACCUUGUUGUUUUAUAUGUGUAACCUGUAAAAUUAAUGAUUAUUGGUGUGUUUUAUAAAGUUAAGAAGUCCUAGAUGAAAUUUUUAGUUUUUAAUUUUAGCCUCACCUAUGGACACGCACUGCUUAGGGGAGCUCAUUUGUGAUCAUCCUUUGUCCAAGACUGUGAAUCAAACCUACAACCUGCUGCACACAGCAUUUUCAUUUAGGAUAUAAUCAUAUGGGGUAUAACUUUUUGCUAUUUCAGGGCCUAUAGAACUAGGCUGGAAUAUUUUCCAGGUUAUACCAGGCUCAUUUUCCAGCAUUCCCUGGAAAAUUUACCAUGGUAAAACCUGGAACAUUUUCCAGCCUAAUCCAGGCUAUGCUGGAAAAUGUUCCAGGCUUUUCCAGACUUUGGUUAAAAAACUGUCCGAAUACUCCAGGUUCAUGGAAAAACAGGAAUUUUAUUCCUGGCAGCCUGGAAGAUGUUCCAGAUUUUACCAUGGUAUAUUUUCCAGGGAUGCUGGUAUAUCAUGGUACAUAUUCCUGCCUUGGCUUUUUCAAAUUUUCCGCAAUGAUAAUUUGGUUAGGCUGGAAAAGGCUGGAAACUUAGUCCGAAUA